AAAGGGAGCGUAGGCGGACUGUUAAGUUAGAGGUGAAAGCCCAGGGCUCAACCUUGGAAUUGCCUUUGAUACUGGCAGUCUUGAGUACGGAAGAGGUAUGUGGAACUCCGAGUGUAGAGGUGAAAUUCGUAGAUAUUCGGAAGAACACCAGUGGCGAAGGCGACAUACUGGUCCGUUACUGACGCUGAGGCUCGAAAGCGUGGGGAGCAAACAGGAUUAGAUACCCCGGU
rnacentral:rRNA from 1 species